CUCCCGGAGAUAGGGACAUGGGCCCCGUAAAGCAGCACGUCUCUUGUGCUGUCCGGUGAGCUCGCGUCGGCCCUUGAAAAUCCGAGGGAGACGGUGUAAUUUUCGUGCGAGGUCGUACCCAUAUCCGCAGCAGGUCUCCAAGGGCAAUGCUAAAGGG
rnacentral:ncRNA from 1 species